rnacentral:rRNA from 1 species
CACGGGGGGAGCAAGCGUUGUUCGGAAUCACUGGGCGUAAAGGGCGUGUAGGCGGUUGGGUAAGUGAGAUGUGAAAUCCCCCGGCUUACCCGGGGACCUGCAUCUCAUACUGCUCGACUUGAGUACGGGAGAGGAUGGGGGAAUUCCUGGUGUAGCGGUGAAAUGCGUAGAUAUCAGGAGGAACACCGGUGGCGAAAGCGCCCAUCUGGCCCGAUACUGACGCUGAUGCGCGAAAGCUAGGGGAG